GCGACGUCAGAAUAAUUUAACUCAAGUUUACAAGAGACUCGUUUGCGAUUGGAAGGCUAUCGGCAACGUCAUCACGAUCUACUUAAUAUUCAAGAGGUGAACCGUUGGACUAGCGAUUCGCGCGCUGCCGAGCUGAGCUUGUGUGCCAGCGUAGUGAAGAAGUGUGGGCUUGUUUUGGUCCGAGUGGGCAGUGGUUGUUCGGAUGCCAUGCUACCCGUUGCUCUGCUCGGAAGAAACGCCCACACACACACACACACGCUAGCACAGACACACAAAAACACAGUGCCAUGUACAUCGGAGGGCUUGGUGGUAUGUGGCAAGUACCCAGAGCUGCAGCCCACUGCAGUGUGCCAAGAAGAAUCCCUCUGUUCAUGAGGUGGACCGUCACAACAGACUAAACAAGGAAAAUGGUCUUUCUCUUGUGUAACCUGAAAAGAAAUGACGAUUUAAAGGCAUAAACCAUGAAAUAACAAGACUCUUCUGUGAUACAAGUGGUUUGCAAGUUCUGACCCAAUGACAACUUUGAAACUGGUUGGAACAUACAAUCAGCUUCAUUGUACGUCACUGAUUUCUAUAGAAUUACACAAAUCUGCAAGGCCCCACCAUGUAGUCAAGCUGGAGAGUUGUUGCCAAACAUAACAAACUGAUUCCCAGAAAUCAGUGUCUACAGAACCACAACAGUCUAAACUGCACUUGAAUGUUUUUGGAUAUAAAGGUUGGUCAUAUAUGUAAUGCUUUAAAACUUUAGUAAUUUUAUAAUCUUAAACUACUUUAUCCUAAACUGUGGUGGAGAGGAUUGUGCAUAUACUCAUGACUUACAGUAUAAGUGCUCUUUGCUCACAUUCUCGCCCACUAUUCUAUAAAAUAAAAACAAAAAAAAAAAUUCAGUAUGAGUCUUAAUGCAAGUCUAGUAUAUUGUUUUGUCCUUGAUCCCUUUUUAAACUCUUUGCACUUCACUUAACUUUCACUGGGUUUUUUAGGCAAUAUUAGUCUCAUAUUCCAAACAUUACAGAAUUACUGCACUAAAGAUUGUAAACUGACCACCACUUUCAUUCUUAAAAUAGAAAAAAAGUGAAAGUGACAUGACAUACAGCAAAGUAUGGUGCAGUGGGCAGCCAUUAAUGCUGCGGUGCCCAGGGAGCAGUUGGGGGUUCGGUGCCUUGCUCAAGGGCACCUCAGUCGUGGUAUUGCCGGCCCGAGACUCGAACCCACAACCUUGGGGUUAGGAGUCAAACUCUCUAACCACUAGGCCACAACUUCCCACGACAAUAAAGGUUCUUUCCAUUGGACAAAAGGUUCUUUAUAGUGGAAAAACAUUUAUUCAGAUAAUUCAAAUAAGAUUCUUUGGGGAACAAAAGUGGUUCUUCUAUGGGAUUGCUGCGAAAACCCCUAUUUGGGACCCAGGUUUGUUUCAUCAAACUUGUGGUGAACUCUGGUCUGUUACUAUCUUCUGUCUACUAUUUGUUUAUCUUUUAAUUAUAUAUUGUGAUUUAUGCAUAUGCAGUGAUCCAUAAGCCUGACUCAGAACGAUCACAUCUGUGACAACAUGGAUCCUCUCAAGCAGAUGAGCAUAAAAUCCUAAAAGUCUGCCUGCACUGGAGGCUCCAGACCACAGAUGGGCCUCCACAUCUGGCAUCCACCCCUGUGCUCACAUCAAAGUUAAAUCCUGGACUGUGAGGACAGGUGGCGUAGUAAUCCCUGUUCAGAGAGGCCCGUGGAUAUCCAGAUUUCAGUGGCAUAUGCAACACCCUUCAGUGGAAUGGUGCAAUGGUGGAUUGCAUUGCUUCUUUUACGCGUGCCUCACUGCAGCUGAUCUGAGAUCAUAGUUUUGGCUGUUCUGCUGGGUGGCGUCUACCUCAAGCCCCCUCCGACUUUAGGAAUGGGCUUGACGUGACCAAUUCAUCAUCUCUCCCUCAUCGCUCCAUCAUUCGCACAGGCAAUCCAUCAAGACCAGAUGCUGAGACAAGGCAGAGGAAAAGGGAGCAGCUCUGGAUGAGACGCUAAUGCUGUCCGCAACCAUUGCUCAAGGGAGACACUUGACGUUACCACUUCAAGCGUAGUAUUGCAGUUUUAAUGCGGAUGUUGGUUAUAUCUCAAUUACAGCGCUGUUGUCUGAACCGCAUUGUGUUCACAGAAAAAGUUUUUAAUGUUAAAUGCUCUUAACAGUCUGAACUUUGAACUAGACAUUCAAUUAGACCUGCUUUAUAUAUUAAUAAAGGCACUGUUUGUUCUGAUUGUAAACAUGGACGGCAAUCUGACCACUGGGCUCUUUUUCAUCACUUGUGGCUAAGAAGUUUCUUCAUUUCCUGUGCAGCGCUUUCCAGAUUUGCGUCUGGAUCACUGAUACCAUAUCAACAAUGUACAAACACGUCCCAGUGUCUCCAAAUCCUCAGGUAGUCCAGAACUCAUGGCCACUAAUUAGGAUCUGAUGGUGUGCUUUAAAUAAGGUAUUUAAUUCUUUGUUGCCCUUGAGCUAAAAGGAUCUUUUAUCUCAAGCUGUACAAAUCACAGUAUUAAUAUAAGCUAGCAAAUAGUUCAACUUUCAAAAUUACCUUGAAGACCAUAUCUUGUGUGUAUCUUGCCAUGAUUCAUCACUGAAUAACAAAAGAAUGCAAAAAGUGUUGAGACUCAAGGGGCUAGCAAAAUGUAUUCCAGUCCUACAUUUUCUGUGGUGAAACAUGAAAAGAAAAACCUUGGACUGUAAGAUCUGUGCUAUUCAAACUAUAAUGGACUUGCUUGUUGUGAUAUUAAGUAGAGGGUUUUUUUAAACAAUCAGUUCACCAAAAAGAUUCACACGUCUACAGAUUAAUUCCAAAACUUGUCCAAAACAAGUUUUAUUGAAUUUGGAAUCUUUUUAUUCUCGUAAAUAGACAAACAAAAUGUGCCCAUUUAUUCAGUCAAUGCAACGGAUCCUCAAUGCACGAAAGCAAGCUUAAAAAAAGAUUAAUUUAGAUGAUUAAAACACCACUAGAGCUGUCAAGAAACAUAAGUGUGGCACUGAUAAAAUUGAGAGUGUCACAAUGAUGUGCCAACAAGUUUAUUUUAUAAGAAUAUUGUGACAUUUUGCAGAAGUAGACUGUUUUAUCAUUGUUUUCUUCUGAAAAGUGAUGUGAAACAAAUGUCUUACUCAUUGUUUAUGAUAUUGCAUUGCAUUUAGUACUACACAAGACAAAUGUGUGUUGUACAGCAGCCAAUUGAAAUCACAACACUUUUGAUGUAUCACAAUACAUCUGUGUCAUACACAUAAAGUUCGCUGAGCGAAUUUCUGUCAUAGUGCGUCUUCUGUUUGUUGCUCUAAAGGUCAUACACUGAUUUAAUUUCAGGCCUGAAGCACUUUUAUAUUAAAAGGCAGAGCAUAACAUGUCCUGCUCUUUGCUCUUUUAGAGUAAAUGGCUUCUUUCAGAGCCAUAGUGGGAGUUUAAUUGCAGCGUAUUGAAGAUGUUAAUAUUACAGUAAGUGCCCAGCCCACACACAUACCUCUGACUUGCUACAAUCUGUUUCGAUGCUUAACCAGUGCGUUCACAGCUAACAAAAUUAUGUUCUAGGAACAUUUUUAAUACAUUCCUGUUAUUAAAAA
ensembl:lncRNA